CUUUCAUUUCUGCUUGGUCAGUACAACAGCAGUUCAACAGCGUUUACAUCAAGAUAGCUGCCAGAGCUAUCAACAAGAGCUGAUCCAGAGUUGUGCAUCUUCUGAUCUACGUUAUCUUCUUAAUCUUGACAUGCAGUUUUGUUUUCUUUUUGUUUUUUUGUUGUUGUUUUUUUUUUUCAAAUAAUUGAGGCUUUAUGGUAGAAUUCUUGAAGCUUGAGAGGUAGCCACUCCCCCCUCAUCAAAGUAUAAAAGUCAGGUCAGAAAAGUCAGAUAGCCACACUCAUCUGAAAGACAUCUUCAUCUGAGGAUUACCGUUAGCUGAGAUUAAUUUCCCGAAGACGGACACCCUGAGCCCACCCAAAACCCAACACAUCGUUCAACAGGGUACAAUCAUGAAGGCCACCUUCUCCCUGCUCUUCCUGAUCCUGGCCAUCGCGUGCACUGUGACUGCCCAAACAUACAGAAGUUUCACUGAUCAGCAUUAUCUAUAUGGCAUGACAGUUAGAGAUUGUAAUAAUAGGAUGAAUUUUGUCAAUACAUACUACUAUGGAAACCACUGCAAACCAGUCAACACUUUCAUCACUGGACCCAAUCUAAAUGCCAUCACUGCGGUCUGUGGAAGUGCAGGGCGACCCUACCCCAAGCCGGGCGUCUUUAAUCUGCGCGAGUCGACAACUCAAUUUAAUUUGGUCACUUGCAGAUACGCAGGAGGAUCAGGCCAGCCCCCUUGCACCUAUCGUGCAUACACCGCAACAAGAUUCAUUGUGAUUGCUUGUGAUAGGACUGGAUUACCUGUGCACUAUGAGACAGAUCAUCCAUAAGUCAAGAUCACAUUUGAUAUCUGUGCCGUUAAAAUGCUAAAAGCUAUGCAAAAAUAAAUCCACUGAUUUAACUGGAGCUUAUAACCAGUUGAAACAACAUGCUUCCCAAACUGCUAAUAUUCUGCAAUGCAAACAGCAAUAAAGAUCACUGCAAUAAAGGAUUUUACUGCA